UACAGAGGUCCCAAGCGUUGUUCGGAUUCAUUGGGCGUAAAGGGUGCGUAGGUGGCGCCGUAAGUCGGGUGUGAAAUUUCGGAGCUUAACUCCGAAACUGCAUUCGAUACUGCGGUGCUUGAGGACUGGAGAGGAGACUGGAAUUCCCGGUGUAGCGGUGAAAUGCGCAGAUAUCGGGAGGAACACCAAUUGCGAAGGCAGCUUGCUGGGACGGUACUGACGCUGAGGCGCGAAGGCCAGGGGAGCAAACGGG
rnacentral:rRNA from 1 species